GACUAGUCUUCAGGACCCAGCUGAAGGUGGGACAUGAGGUGGAGCGGGGGAGGGGUGAAUCAUAUGCCUCACACCCCAUUUGUGAGAGUUUGGGGCAUCUCCAAACUAGAGCUUUCCUAGGUGAUGUGUCUACCUUCCUUUUAGGUCCUGCACUACAUAGGGACUGCCUAAUUCCUACCUGUGCCCUUCGCUCCUUCCCACAGCCUGGCCCAAGGAUGCUUCCUCCUAGCUCUCCUCACCCUCCCUGAAGGCCUCAACCUCACAGCUUUUGCCUAUCUGGCCAGUCCCCUCCUGCGAUGCUACAGUCCAGAACCUUACACAACACAUCUCUGGGACUACUGGUGCUGUAACCUCCCUGCCUCCUGGUCACCCUCCUUCCAGUCUACAAGGCACCCUGCGACAUAACUGUAUUCUAAGAAAGCCUCCUUCAUUUUGUCUGUCAUCUGCCUUCUUCAGAAUCCACAGGCUCCCUAUGGCCAUGCCAAAAGCAUGGCUUUCUAAACUAAGAGGGGAUUUGAGAAAUGAUUCAGCUGGACUCCCUUGUUUCACAGAUGAAGAAUCUGACGCUCAGAAAAGAUGCGUGACUUGCCCAGGGCGGAGCCAAAACUGUAGUGAGGCCUCUACGUGAUGAGAACUUACUAUCCAUCCUAACUCUCUUGCACAUCACAAUACAUGCAGAGACUGCAUAUACAUGCUUAACUUCUCUGACCUUUGUAACAUGGGAAUAAUAAUCUUUAAUUUGGGGAAAAUGUUGUGAGGAUAGAAUGAAACUGUUGUUUAUCAAUUGCUAAAGGCUGUAGAGAACAUUGA